AUUGAACGCUGGCGGCAUGCUUUACACAUGCAAGUCGAACGGCAGCGCGGGCUUCGGCCUGGCGGCGAGUGGCGAACGGGUGAGUAAUACAUCGGAACGUGCCCAGUAGUGGGGGAUAGCUCGGCGAAAGCCGGAUUAAUACCGCAUACGACCUGAGGGUGAAAGCGGGGGAUCUUCGGACCUCGCGCUAUUGGAGCGGCCGAUGGCAGAUUAGCUAGUUGGUGGGGUAAAGGCCUACCAAGGCGACGAUCUGUAGCUGGUCUGAGAGGACGACCAGCCACACUGGGACUGAGACACGGCCCAGACUCCUACGGGAGGCAGCAGUGGGGAAUUUUGGACAAUGGGCGAAAGCCUGCUCCAGCAAUGCCGCGUGUGUGAUGAAGGCCUUCGGGUUGUAAAGCACUUUUGGCGGGAACGAAAAGGACUGUGCCAAUACCACGGUUCGAUGACGGUACCCGCAGAAUAAGCACCGGCUAACUACGUG
rnacentral:rRNA from 1 species